CCUACGGGAGGCAGCAGUGAGGAAUUUUCCGCAAUGGGCGAAAGCCUGACGGAGCAAUACCGCGUGAGGGAUGAAGGAUUUUGGUCUGUAAACCUCUUUUCUCAAGAAAGAAGUUCUGACGGUACUUGAGGAAUAAGCAUCGGCUAACUCCGUGCCAGCAGCCGCGGUAAUACGGGGGAUGCAAGCGUUAUCCGGAAUGAUUGGGCGUAAAGCGCCUGUAGGUUGUUUAUUAAGUCCGUUGUUAAAGCCUAGGGCUCAACCCUAGAAAAGCAAUGGAAACUAGUAGACUAGAGUAUGGCAGGGGUAGAGGGAAUUUCUAGUGUAGCGGUGAAAUGCGUAGAUAUUAGAAAGAACACCGGUGGCGAAAGCGCUCUACUGGACCAUUACUGACACUCAGAGGCGAAAGCUAGGGUAGCAAAAGGGAUUAGAUACCCCUGUAGUCCUAGCCGUAAACGAUGGAUACUAGAUGUUGUGCAUUAUGUACAGUAUCGUAGCUAACGCGUUAAGUAUCCCGCCUGGGGAGUACGCUCGCAAGGGUGAAACUUAAAUGAAUUGACGG
rnacentral:rRNA from 1 species